AUUUUGAUGUCCACGCUGUAGGAGCAUUACUAAAUAAUGCUUAUGUUCCUAGGUUCUUCCAUGCUGAUGGCUGUGCUCUAGAGUCAUAUCUCCUGUCGAAGAACAUUUUUAGACAUUAUGAACCAUGAAUAAGUUUAGCUCCAACCCCAGUUAAGCAGACCUGAGCAGCUGAUCAAGGAUCAGCAGAAACUCUGCAGAACAUUGGUCCUUCAGCCCAGGACUGGACACCAGUGUUGUAAGUCAUUCUGUCUCUUUAUUGUGCAUGUUCAGGACAUAUUGCAGGAGAUCUCAACAUUGUCUCUUAAGGUCCACUUACAUGCAGAGUUUUGCUCCAACCUGCAGUGCACCUGAACACAUUAAUCGAGGUCUAACUUUUAGUGUUGUCACAGUACCAAUUUCAGUACCAAAGCAAAACACAAAAACAUGCUAAUUAUUAUUUUUUUAAUUAUUAUUAUUAGCCGCACUUAUGCUAACAAUUAACUACUCAAAUAACAGUGUUCAUUUCAAUCCGACAUUCAAAUUACAGUUAUAUAUAUAUAUAUCCUGAUAAAUACAGGUGCUGGUCAUAUAAUUAAAAUAUCAUCAAAAAGUUGAUUUCACUAAUUCCAUUCAAAAAGUGAAACUUGUAUAUUAUAUUCAUUCAUUACACACAGACUGAUAUAUUCCAAAUCUUUAUUUCUUUUAAUUUUGAUGUUUAUAACUGACAACUAAGGAAAAUCCCAAAUUCAGUAUCCCAGAAAAUUUGAAUGUUGUGAAAAGGUUCAAUAUUGAAGAGACCUGGUGCCACACUCUAAUCAGCUAAUUAACUCAAAACAACUGCAAAUCCUUUAAAUGGUCUCUCAGUCUCGUUCUGUAGGCUACACAAUCAUGGGGAAGACUGCUGACUUAACCGUUGUCCAAAAGACGACCAUUGACACUUUGCACAAGGAGGGGAAGACACAAAAGGUCAUUUCAAAAGAGGCUGGCUGUUCACAGAGCUCUGUGUCCAAGCACAUUAAUAGAGAGGAGAAGGGAAGGAAAAGAUGUAGUAGAAAAUAAGUGUAGAAGCAAUAGAGAUAACUGCACCCUGGAGAGGAUUGUGAAACAAAACCCAUUCAGAAAUGUGGGGGAGAUUCACAAAGAGUGGACUGCAGCUGGAGUCAGUGCUUCAAGAACCACUACACACAGACGUAUGCAAGACAUGGGUUUCAGCUUCACAUUCCUUGUGUCAAGCCACUCUUGAACAACAGACAGAACCAGAAGUGUCUCGCUUCAAAAAGGACUGUACUGCUGCUGAGUAGUGAUAUAUCAGACCCAAGAAUGCAGAAGAGCUGAAGGCCACUAUCAGAGCAACCUGGGCUCUCAUAACACCUGAGCAGUGCCACAGACUGAUCCACUCCAUGCCACACCACACUGCUGCAGUCAUUCAGGGGAAAGGAGCCUCAACUAAGUAUUGAGUGCUGUACAUACUCAUACUUUUCAUGUUCAUACUUUUCAGUUGGCCAAGAUUUCUAAAAAUCCUUUCUUUGUAUUGGUCUUAAGUUAUACUCUAAUUUUCUAAGAUAAUGAAUUUGGGAUUUUCCUUAGUUGUCAGAUAUAAAUAAAUAUAUCAG